rnacentral:rRNA from 1 species
UACGAAGGGGGCUAGCGUUGCUCGGAAUCACUGGGCGUAAAGGGUGCGUAGGCGGUUUUUUAAGUCAGGGGUGAAAUCCUGGAGCUCAACUCCAGAACUGCCUUUGAUACUGAAGAUCUUGAGUUCGGGAGAGGUGAGUGGAACUGCGAGUGUAGAGGUGAAAUUCGUAGAUAUUCGCAAGAACACCAGUGGCGAAGGCGGCUCACUGGCCCGAUACUGACGCUGAUGCACGAAAGCGUGGGGAGCAAACAGG